CCUACGGGUGGCACCAGUAGGGAAUCUUCGGCAGUGGACGAAAGUCUGACCGAGCAACGCCGCGUGAGUGAAGAAGGUUUUCGGAUCGUAAAACUCUGUUGUUAGAGAAGAACAAGUAGGAGAGUAACUGCUCUUACCUUGACGGUAUCUAACCAGAAAGCCACGGCUAACUACGCGCCAGCAGCCGCGGUAAUACGUAGGUGGCAAGCGUUGUCCGGAUUUAUUGGGCGUGAAGCGAGCGCAGGCGGUCUUUUAAGUCUGAUGUGAAAGCCCUCGGCUCAACCGAGGAAGGUCAUUGGAAACUGGGGGACUUGAGUGCAGAAGAGGAGAGUGGAAUUCCAUGUGUAGUGGUGAAAUGCGUAGAUAUAUGGAGGAACACCAGUGGCGAAGGCGACUCUCUGGUCUGUAACUGACGCUGAGGCUCGAAAGCGUGGGGAGCAAACAGGAUUAGAUACCCUCGUAGUC
rnacentral:rRNA from 1 species